UUGGCUCAGGAUGAACGCUGGCGGCGUGCUUAACACAUGCAAGUCGAACGGAGUUAAGCGCUGGUUUGAUGCUAGCUUGCUAGUGGAUUUCCUUGCUUAACUUAGUGGCGGACGGGUGAGUAACGCGUGAGUAACCUGCCUCUCAGUGGGGAAUAACGCCCUGAAAAGAGCGCUAAUACCGCAUAACACAUAUUGACCGCAUGGUCGGUAUGUCAAAGAUUUAUCGCUGAGAGAUGGACUCGCGUCCGAUUAGCUAGUUGGUGAGGUAACGGCCCACCAAGGCGACGAUCGGUAGCCGGACUGAGAGGUUGAACGGCCACAUUGGGACUGAGACACGGCCCAGACUCCUACGGGAGGCAGCAGUGGGGAAUA
rnacentral:rRNA from 1 species